CGGCGGAGGGCAUGGCUUCUUGGGGAUCACAACCGGUGGUUUGUAUAUUGGUACCGGCGGAGGACACGGCUUCUUCACAAUUGGUGGUAUGUAGAUUGGUGGAUGCUCUAUCUUCGGCGGCGGCUUGUAAACCGGAACUGGAGGUGGGUGCUCUAUCUUCGGCGGUGGAAUGACUAUCUUUGGCGGCGGCUUGUGGACUGGAACCGGCGGUGGAUCAACUUUCUUAGGCGGACAAGGCUUCUUCGUUGGUGGUUUGUGGACUGGCACCGGCGGUGGAUCAACUUUCUUAGGCGGACAUGGCUUCUUCGGUAGCUUGUGUACCGGAACGGGAGGUGGGUGCUCUAUCUUUGGCGGGGGCUUGUAAACCGGAACCGGAGGUGGCUUCUCUAUCUUUGGCGGUGGCUUGUAAACCGGAACCGGAGGUGGGUGCUCUAUCUUCGGCGGUUUAGGUGGACAAGGCUUCUUAGGAAUAGGCGGUGGAAGCUCCACCUUUGGUGGUGGCUUGUAAACUGGGACAGGUGGUGGAACCUCUUUCUUAGGCGGUGGAUCGUAAACCGGAACCGGCGGGGGAAUCUCUUUCUUUG
rnacentral:lncRNA from 1 species